rnacentral:lncRNA from 1 species
UAAUAAUAAUAAUAAAGUCUUGCCAUGUUUUAAGUGUUUUAACCCUUGACCACUGAUACCCUGUCCGACUGACGUAGGGCCCCGUAACGUAUGUCAAGGCUCUGCCUAAAUUCGUUGGGGUUCUGUCUCGUGACGUAGGGAUAAAGUGGAAUUGGGUUACUAUAUUUAAGUGUGAGUGCACUAUAUAUUUUACCAAAUCACCCAGGAGUGAUACCCAAAAUAUAACAACUUUCCUAAAACACCCCUGACACCCUCCACUUUAUAAAAUACACCCCGUAUGUGAAAACCAAGCCCGAAAUACAAUAUAUAAAUGAAAAACAAGAAAUAGUAAGUUGAGGCGGGCCGCGUGAGCCCACCCCAAACCCUUACGCGGGCCAUAUGAAAGCUAGAACCGGACUCCUUUGGUUUCUUAAGUCUAGGCGGGCCGCGUAAGGCCACACCGUUAGUUUACGCGGGCCGCGAGUGUCCCAAUUGGUGGCGCAGCCCGGUGAUGACACGUGUCAUCAUCGUGGCGAGGCUAGAUCAUGACCAGGACAAGCUAUACGUUGACCUGGAGUCAACGCGGGCCGCAUAAGCCUUGCCUGUUCUUUACGCGGGCCGCGUGGGAACCAGUUUCAGCAACUAUAUAAGGAACGCAUCGGAUUUCAAUUCAGUUCGCUCAUUUCUCAAUUCUCAAUCACAAUUUCUGUAGAAGGCUUAUUAUACUCGGGUAUUAUGCCCCCUAAUUAGCGAAGCUCUGCCUCGUUGUAAGUAUCAUAACCCCUGGAUACGUAUUAGAUACUCUGCCCGAUUGAUCUAGGGUUCCGUAACGGCUGUCGUGGUUCUGCCCGACGUAGUCGUUGGAAUACCGUCUCGGGGAGAGUAUUACUAAUGUUAAAAUGGGUUAUUAUACUAACGCGUGUGCAUUGUUUAUUUAAUUAGACUAUAACCAGGGAAUCACAAAAGAAAGCCCUAUAAUAGCAAUGUGAGUAAUCUCCUUUUUGUUAACUGUUUUUACAAAACCUUAAAUACCUUUCCAUGCAAAUGACAGUUAUUGAGUAUUUGUGAAGAAUACAAUUAUAGUGGGUAUGUUGGGGUUUUGUAUACAAAAUUAGUUACUGGCGUGGUAACAUCCCAUAAGUUGAGUAUGACCGUACCACUGAUGUUAAUUGUGAUGUCUUGGAUACAAAUGUAACUUAGUGUAAAGCCAAUAGAAGCCAGCUGGAGAGCACUGAAGGCUUGGGAAAAGUGGCUAUAAAGUUACCUAAAAUAAAAUAGAUGUUUUUAUUAAUAAAAAUAGGAUUUAUUCCUAUGAAAGUGUGUAUACUGAAAACUUGGGUUUUACCCAUGUGUUUAAUAUUAUGAAAAUGUGGUGGUUUUACUCUGAUAAAAAUAUUUCCUAACUACGGUCCUGAUGAAAAAAUUCCGCUGCCAAAUUAGACAAUACACGAUACCACCGAAACUGGCUCACGGCCGCCCGUUCCUGAGGGAUCGGGGGUUGUGAC